UGAACUUCAGCCAAACUUGUGCAACCAUCAAGUAUCAAUUCGACCAGACAAGGUAAAUAUUGAAAAUUUGGCGUGCAAAAAAGUUUCUCACAACAUCUGAGGUUGAGAACUUUCAGCUUCCCAAGCAUCUGCAAUUCAUUGCCACUGUAGUGAGGCAAAAAGGAACGCUUACAUGGAGAAAAUGAGGCAGAGUAACUUCAGUCAAGAAAGGAUCAGAAUAUCCGAUGCCAGUCUGACAUGAGUCCAAACUUGUGAAAUCAUGCUAUAAGAAAGGUCCAGAAUGACUGCUUUCUCAAGAGAAAGUUCAUCAGCGUAAGUUUGGUCAUUGUUUCAAAUGCCUCUGCACCAACGCAUGUCUGCUUGCCUUUUUCUGAUUGGAGUGCAAUACCUUUUAUGUUCUCUCUUCCCUAUAAAAUGAAAAGACGAUAGAAUUUCAACUUGAGGCAUUACCUGAGAAUGAAAUAUUAUAGACAAUGAGAAGUGUAUGGUGGUUUCUUUGAUGUAUUCGAUGUCUGACAUGAACAAUAAGUUUCCUUGUGGUCUUCGACAUCUCACUGUACCAUUGUUGCCUAGAAGUUUACUUACAGAAAGAGUUGAUAAUGUAACUCCAUCCUCAACAACAUUCUAAUUAGGUAAUUAUUGGCAACACAGCUUUAGUGUACGAACGGUGAUUGAGAAUACGAACGGUGAUUGAGCUUCUUUGUCCUGCAUAGCCUAAACUAGAGGAGGUUUCUAAUAACUCGUCGUCUUGGUCAUAAAUGGAAACCAUACUUUGUUCUGAAUAAGUUUUGCCAAGACGAAAACAUGAAAAUUGAUUUUGACAAUGAUAUUUAACUCUCAUACCAAUAGUUGUCAAGAUAAAUCCAAAAUAAUGAAGUCGUUGUCUAGUAGCACUGAGGAAAACAUGAUAUUCAUUACGAUUAAGAUGAUAACCACAAGGACUCAGCUAAUGAAACCUUCAGCAUGAAGUUAGGCAAGUAUGUCCCUUUUGAUCGAAUCUGCCAGGUGAUCUCCAAUACCGCAUCACAGAUUGACUGGUUGAGAACAAACGUUGCAACAAGAAGAAUUUUUAUGAUUUGAGCGUGUAUAAUUUAGAAAAAAAAUGGAAAAAGAUAUAAAGUAGCGCAAAUAAGAUCCAUUUGAUCUUACCUUCUUGUGUUUUAGCAAGUGCAGUAUUUCAUCAUUGUUCCACAACCUGCUGCGUAGCUCUGGAGGUUCCUUUUGUGAGACAAUGUGCCUACCCAUGUCCUGUAUUUGUUCAUGCAC